rnacentral:piRNA from 1 species
UACCUAUCUGGGAUAGAUGGUGGAA